GGAGGGAUCAUUACCGAGUUAUACAACUCAUCAACCCUGUGAACAUACCUAAAACGUUGCUUCGGCGGGAACAGACGGCCCCGUAACACGGGCCGCCCCCGCCAGAGGACCCCCUAACUCUGUUUCUAUUAUGUUUCUUCUGAGUAAAACAAGCAAAUAAAUUAAAACUUUCAACAACGGAUCUCUUGGCUCUGGCAUCGAUGAAGAACGCAGCGAAAUGCGAUAAGUAAUGUGAAUUGCAGAAUUCAGUGAAUCAUCGAAUCUUUGAACGCACAUUGCGCCCGCCAGUAUUCUGGCGGGCAUGCCUGUUCGAGCGUCAUUACAACCCUCAGGCCCCCGGGCCUGGCGUUGGGGAUCGGCGAGGCGCCCCCUGCGGGCACACGCCGUCCCCCAAAUACAGUGGCGGUCCCGCCGCAGCUUCCAUUGCGUAGUAGCUAACACCUCGCAACUGGAGAGCGGCGCGGCCACGCCGUAAAACACCCAACUUCUGAAUGUUGACCUCGAAUCAGGUAGGAAUACCCGCUGAACUUAAGC
rnacentral:misc_RNA from 1 species